UAACACAUGCAAGUCGAACGAAGUAGCAAUACUUAGUGGCAGACGGGUGAGUAGCAUGUGGGUAUCUACCCUUUGGCCUGGAAUAACACGAGGAAACUUGUGCUAAUACCGGAUAAGUCUUUACGGAGAAAGCUUUAUGCACCAUUGGAUGAGCCCGCACUUGAUUAGUUUGUUGGUAGGGUAAUGGCCUACCAAGACUAUGAUCAAUAGCUGAUUUGAGAGGAUGAUCAGCCACAUUGGGACUGAGACACGGCCCAAACUCCUACGGGAGGCAGCAGUGGGGAAUCUUGCACAAUGGAGGAAACUCUGAUGCAGCGAUGCCGCGUGAGUGAAGAAGGCCUUUGGGUUGUAAAGCUCUUUCGUCGGGGAAGAAAAUGACUGUACCCGAAUAAGAAGGUCCGGCUAACUUCGUGCCAGCAGCCGCGGUAAUACGAAGGGACCUAGCGUAGUUCGGAAUUACUGGGCUUAAAGAGUUCGUAGGUGGUUGAAAAAGUUGGUGGUGAAACCCCAGAGCUUAACUCUGGAACUGCCAUCAAAACUUUUCAGCUAGAGUAUGAUAGAGGAAAGCAGAAUUUCUAGUGUAGAGGUGAAAUUCGUAGAUAUUAGAAAGAAUACCAAUUGCGAAGGCAGCUUUCUGGAUCAUUACUGACACUGAGGAACGAAAGCAUGGGUAGCGAAGAGGAUUAGAUACCCUCGUAGUCCAUGCCGUAAACGAUGUGUGUUAGACGUUGGAAAUUUAUUUUCCAGUGUCGCAGCGAAAGCGAUAAACACACCGCCUGGGGAGUACGACCGCAAGGUUAAAACUCAAAUGAAUUGACGGGGACCCGCACAAGUAGUGGAGCAUGUGGUUUAAUUCGAAGAUACGCGCAGAACCUUACCAACACUUGACAUGUUUCGUCGCGACUCUAAGAGAUUAGAGUUUUCGGUUCGGCCGGACGAAACACAGGUGCUGCAUGGCUGUCGUCAGCUCGUGUCGUGAGAUGUUGGGUUAAGUCCCGCAACGAGCGCAACCCUCACUUUUAGUUGCCAUCAUUAAGUUGGGCACUCUGAAAGAACUGCCAGUGAUAAGCUGGAGGAAGGUGGGGAUGACGUCAAGUCCUCAUGGCCCUUACGUGUUGGGCUACACACGUGCUACAAUGGUAUCUACAACAGGAAGCAAAACGGCAACGUUAAGCAAAUCCCGAAAAGAUACCUCAGUUCGGAUUGCACUCUGCAACUCGAGUGCAUGAAGCUGGAAUUACUAGUAAUCGUGGAUCAGCGUGCCACGGUGAAUGCGUUCCCGGGUCUUGUACACACCGCCCGUCACACCAUGGGAGUUGGUUCUACCUUAAGGCAAGGUUUUAAACCCUUGACCACGGUAUAGUCAGCGACUGGGGUG
rnacentral:rRNA from 1 species